rnacentral:rRNA from 1 species
ACGGAAGGCAGCAGUGGGGAAUAUUGGUCAAUGGGCGAAAGCCUGAACCAGCCAAGUCGCGUGAAGGAUGAAGGUAUUAUGUAUUGUAAACUUCUUUAGCAGCAGAGUAAUAAGGGGGUCGUGACCCCCGAUGCAAGUAUGCUGAAAAUAAGGAUCGGCUAACUCCGUGCCAGCAGCCGCGGUAAUACGGAGGAUCCGAGCGUUAUCCGGAUUUAUUGGGUUUAAAGGGUGCGCAGGCGGUUUUUUAAGUCAGUGGUUAACUCGUGAGGCUCAACCUCAUCACGCCAUUGAUACUGGAAGACUUGAUUGCGGUUGAGGUUGGCGGAAUUCGUCGUGUAGCGGUGAAAUGCAUAGAUAUGACGAAGAACACCGAUUGCGUAGGCAGCUGACCAAGCCGUAAAUGACGCUCAUGCACGAAAGUGCGGGGAUCGAACAGGAUUAGAUACCCUGGUA